GGGGAUAUUGCACAAUGGGGGAAACCCUGAUGCAGCGAUGCUGCGUGAGUGAAGACGGCCUUCGGGUUGUAAAGCUCUGUCGCAGAGGACGAAAAUGACGGUACUCUGCAAGAAAGCUCCGGCUAACUACGUGCCAGCAGCCGCGGUAAUACGUAGGGAGCAAGCGUUGUCCGGAAUUACUGGGUGUAAAGGGAACGUAGGCGGAAGGAUAAGUUGAAUGUGAAAUCUAUGGGCUCAACUCAUAGCUGCGUUCAAAACUGUUCUUCUUGAGUGAAGUAGAGGCAGGCGGAAUUCCUAGUGUAGCGGUGAAAUGCGUAGAUAUUAGGAGGAACACCAGUGGCGAAGGCGGCCUGCUGGGCUUUUACUGACGCUGAGGCUCGAAAGCGUGGGUAGCAAACA
rnacentral:rRNA from 1 species